rnacentral:misc_RNA from 1 species
AGAAGGUUCACUAAUGGAGGUAUCGCACCGGACCUUCCGAUCGCGAUUUUAUUCUCUUCAAUUUGCGAUAAUCGAAGCAGAGCACAAGCGGAAUUCUCUUUCGCAGUUGAGUUUCCAAUUUUCAAAGCUCGAACUAACGGUUUAAUCGCUCCUGAUUCUGCGAUAAGCUCCUUGUUUUCAUCGCAGAGAGAUAAAUUCAGCACCGCCGUAACACCGUACUCUUGAAGCUGAAGAUCAGUGGAAGAGAUAAGCGAAAUUAACGGCUUAAUCGCUCCGGCUCUAGCAAUUUUCAAACGAUUCUCCGGUUUAUUCUUCGCUAAUAGCCUAAUCUCCAUUGCGGCUUGUUUUUGCACAUCGAUAGAAUUCGAUUCGAGAUCGGAAACAAGUUGUUGAAUCAAUUCAUCGGAGUUAUAAUUAUCCGACGCACACGCAAUUAAUAACCGCCGGCUUUGAGAAGAAGUCGUCGGAAACUCACCGGAUCUAUCGCUAUUGCAGUCGCUGAAAGCAGACGAAGAUUCAUUAAUUCCGAGACCGGUAAAUGUUCUUCCCAUAUAAGUGAAAUUAGAUUGAACUUCUGUUUCCAUUGUCGUCGGAGAUGAUGAGCUAAUUUAAUUCCUCGACUGUUUUUCGUCGCCGGUAAUAGGUAUUUAACGUCUCCGGCGAGUUUUCAAAGGUUUGCCGGUGUUAUCGGAAAAUGAGAGGUGAUAACUGAAACGACGGCGUUUGGUUGUUGGAGUUUGAUUUGGG